UACAGAGACUGCAAGCGUUAUUCGGAUUCACUGGGCGUAAAGGGUGCGCAGGCGGCCAAGUGUGUUAGGCGUGAAAGCCCGGGGCUUAACCCCGGAAUUGCACCUAAAACUACAUGGCUAGAGCAUUGGAGAGGGUAGCGGAAUUCACGGUGUAGCAGUGAAAUGCGUAGAUAUCGUGAGGAACACCCGUGGCUAAGGCGGUUCUCUAGUACGGUAACUGA
rnacentral:rRNA from 1 species